UGCUCGCGAGAAGAAAUUUUAUUAUUUUAUCCAAAUUCUGUGUCUCUGUGUAUUUCUUUCCGAGAUUUCUGCAACAGGGUGAGUGAUGCUGAGAUCUAAGAUGUGAUGCUGGGAUUGAUUCAUGGUGUGAUGCUAAGAUUUAGGCUGUGAGUGCUACCUGCCAUAAGGGUGAGUAGCCUGGAUAAUAUAUAAGGGAAAGAAGAGGGUCACUGCUUAUCACUUGUCACUUAUUGCUUUUUGGCUACUUCACUGUUUUGUUGCUUUCUGCCCACCAUGAACUGUUUCUUCUGGGUGAUGCCCGUUUGCCAUGAAACCCUGCCUUGGAGACUGUUUCUUCUGGGUGAUGCCCGUUUGCCAUGAAACCCUGCCUUGGAGCCAGGCAACUAUGAACUGAAAUCUCUACAAACUGUUUUAUGACAGUUUGAAGAAAACAGCCCAUCCUGUGGCUGAUCUGGAGACCUUCAUCUGCCAGAGGAACAUCUCUUAGGGUUUAGAUCUAAAAUAUCUCAGAGGCAAGGCUUUGGAAGGCGAUUGGAUCAUGGAGGUGCUAUAUUCCUCUUGAAUUUAUCUGCUAAAGUGUUCAGCCCGGGUGUGUUGUUAAGGGGUGGGCGGGGCUAGAGGGAGUCUACUAGGGGCGUGGCCUGGAAGGAUGUGUCUCCCUCUGCAGCUCCUCCCCUCUCUCUGCUUCCUGGCCAUCAUGACCUGAGCAGCUUCCUUCUGCCCAGGUCCUUCCACCAAGCUGCUUCUGUAUUUGAGCCUGCCCACACUGACUGAAAUUCGUGAAGGAUUGCCUGGAGUUAGAGGCCAGCCUGAGCUGCACAGUGAUUUCAAGGCAAGGCUGAAGUACAGACCUUGUCUCAAAAAACCAGACUGAGCAAUGAAGACACACUAGGAGCUUCCUCCUUGCAGGAGAUGCUCCCAGUGCCCUGAGAUAAUUAGACCGGGCCAGCCUGCAGACCCAGGGAUGACCUCUCCCCGAUUUCUAACCCUGGUGCUGUGACCUUGCGGUGCACUUUUCCUAGCAACCUGAGCUUUAGUGCCCUCUGGUGACAGGAAUUGUCUCUUGUCUGAAGUCUGAAGAUUGACAUCCAUCUAGUUAUACCUGCUGCUGUAUAGGAUUUUCUGUUUAUGCGGAAACUGAAUUUCGUCCUUACAGUUAAGAAAAAAUCUACUAAAAUUGUAUAAUUAACAAGUCUUUAACGUUUCAUAAGACAUGUAACUUCUGAAAUCUUCAGAUGUUCUUUGGAUUUCCUUUUUUUUUUUUUUGGUACCGGGGAACUCAGGUCCUUGUGCUUGCACAGCAGGCAGCGAAACCACUGAGCUAAAUCCCUGGCCCUGGAUUUCCUUUCGAAUGUAAAGAUUUUUUGUUUCUGUGAGACAGUAAAUUUCAGGUUUUGCUUGUGACCACA